rnacentral:rRNA from 1 species
GGGCCCGCACAAGCGGUGGAGCAUGUGGUUUAAUUCGAUGCAACGCGAAGAACCUUACCUACUCUUGACAUCCAGAGAACUUUUCAGAGAUGAAUUGGUGCCUUCGGGAACUCUGAGACAGGUGCUGCAUGGCUGUCGUCAGCUCGUGUUGUGAAAUGUUGGGUUAAGUCCCGCAACGAGCGCAACCCUUAUCCUUGUUUGCCAGCGAGUAAUGUCGGGAACUCCAGGGAGACUGCCGGUGAUAAACCGGAGGAAGGUGGGGACGACGUCAAGUCAUCAUGGCCCUUACGAGUAGGGCUACACACGUGCUACAAUGGCGCAUACAGAGGGCAGCCAACUUGCGAGAGUGAGCGAAUCCCAUAAACCGUGGCUCAGUUCAGAUCGUAGGCUGCAACUCGCCUACGUGAAGGCGGAAUCGCUAGUAAUCGCAGGU